UGGGGAAUCUUAGGCAAUGGGGGAAACCCUGAUCUAGCCAUGCCGCGUGAGUGACGAAGGCCCUAGGGUCGUAAAGCUCUUUCGCUGGGGAAGAUAAUGACGGUACCCAGUAAAGAAACCCCGGCUAACUCCGUGCCAGCAGCCGCGGUAAUACGGAGGGGGUUAGCGUUGUUCGGAAUUACUGGGCGUAAAGCGCACGUAGGCGGGCUGUUAAGUCGGGGGUGAAAUCCCGGGGCUCAACCCCGGAACUGCCUUCGAUACUGGCUGCCUUGAGUUCGAGAGAGGUGAGUGUAAUUCCGAGUGUAGAGGUGAAAUUCGUAGAUAUUCGGAGGAACACCAGUGGCGAAGGCGGCUCACUGGCUCGAUACUGACGCUGAGGUGCGAAAGCGUGGGGAGCAAACAGGAUUAGAUACCCGCGUAGUCC
rnacentral:rRNA from 1 species